GGGAGCCUGGCUGUGGGGUCUCACUUCUGGGCCUUUGUUUUGGGCUGAUGGGUGCAAGCAGUGCCCGUGCCUGGCUCUGGGGACAGGCACUGCCUCCGUUUUGGUUUAGGGACACGGCUGUGAUGGAUACUCGGUGAGGAUCACUCGUGGAGAGGGUAAAGUUAAUGAGUUAACCAGCAGCAGCUGCGGGCUGGGCACCCCCUGGGCCCUACAAAAGGAGGUGGAGGCCCCCAGCUGGGUUUUUGCUGGUGGACAGGGGAUGCUCUGCACCAUGGGGUGACUCCAGGACCCGCUGCCUCCUUCCUCAUCCCAACCAACCCCACUCUGCUUUUGGCUGCCUGAGCAGCGUCUCGUUGUGCCGGCUGAAACAGCUUCAAAAAGCUUGAACCUGCCGGGUGCUGCUCCGCAAAUAUCCCACGGAGGCUUCUGGGUUUUUGCACCAGGAAAUUACCUGGGAAGACCUGUUGGGGAUGAGAUGCUCUGUGACCGGCCGGCAGCGACAAGCUAGGAGCUGUGACCAUGAAUACAGAUGUGAAAGUUGUGACUGGAUUUGUGAGCCUGGGAACUGAGGAAGUUCAGUUGCAGAAGUGGGAAUCAGAAACCUUGAAAUGGGACCGAGAAAUUAAGCAACUGCCGGGGUGCUGUGCAAACACAAACCCAAUAGACAGCCCUCAGUUUUCAUCUGUCAAGGGAAAAACCACCAGCUUUUCAGCUGUGAUAAUCAGCGAUGGGCAUCCAGCUGUAAUCCAGGGGCUCAGUAGCUCCGCAUUAUCAAUCCUCUGGUUUAAAAGAGGGAGCUCAACAUGUCUGUGGCUUCCAGUACUUGGCACGCUCCAGGGGUCCUGUCUCGCUACUGAGAGCGGUGUCAUGAAACUUCUGCACUAUAAAUGGCUGUAGAUGUAUGCUGUAGAUAUAAAGCUGAUUUCUCAGGGCUAUAGGCAGAUGUGGCUUGCCAGAUGUGAUUUACAGGACAAAAACACAUGCAGGAAGCUCCCUGGACCAGGCAAUGCCUCAGGUCCAUGUCUGAGCACCUCCUUGGUGUGAUAACACCGAUUUCAAUAUUUCUCCCCCUGAUUCACCCCAGUUAAGUGGCAGAUGAAUCACCAUGCUUUACCUCUGGUAGGCAAGACGGUGCUUUGCUCAUAGGCCCUGAAUUUUUGUGCUUGAAUACGAGACUUUUGGACUCGAGUCUUUCUGACAUGGCUAUGGUUGCUGCUGAGAGCUGACACCGCUCUCAUGGGCUGUCUGCUUGGUUGUAUGUUUUAUUUAUCAAAAAAAUGCUUUCCUCCCUGCUUACUUGUAGCAUACGAGGUCUUUUUUUCCUGUCCAUCGAGGUAGGAGCAGCCGAGCUCGCUGUCCCAGCACACCAGGAGAGGAAAACAGUGUCUGGGCAGCCCGGGGAGCCAGCAGCACAGCUCCUGGCAGGGUGUUUUCCCUCAAGGUGAGGAAGGCCAGGGAGGAGGGAGGAUAAUCUCCGGCCAUGUGAGGUCCUUGCACAACACCCCCACUCAUCCUGCAGUCGGCCUGCUAUUAUGAGGCCCAGAUGGGUCUGAGGAUGGGCCUGGGGCGAAAGGGAGGGCCCGACUCUUCGGGUGACAUUCUUUGGGUGGCUGCUGCGAUGAUAAAGAGGAACUCUGGCGGGUGACGUUGCCUAUCAGGCCCUUCCUGGCAGGAAGUUCUCUCAUCACGACAAGGAGGAAGCCAAGAGGGACAGCACGGGCUGUACUGACCGCAAGGGAAUCUUGUCUUCCAGCACGGGGCUAAAGGCUCCUGGUGACCUGCUCUGUGGAACCGGCCGGCAGCAAAAUGAGGCCGUCUUCAUGGAAAAAUGCUCUGGGAAUGAGUGUGCACGCAGAACUGUGCAGGCAGCCCCAGAUGUACCAGUGCUCCCAGCCUGGGAACAGGCAGCAAAGCCACGCUGGCUGUAUCCGACUGAAGAAAAACAUGUCCUCUGUGGACAGGGUCCUGUCCCCUGCUUUCUGCUGACAUGAACGCUCGUCUGACCUUCUGCUGAGCUGGUUCAGGGAGCUAAACUGGCUGAAAUGUAACCCUCCCCCUCUAAAAAGUGAUUAGUUCUCACCACAGCUGGUGUUGGCCAGCGCUGGCGGUAGGGAGGAAAUGGACAGGGUGCUGGGGGUGGUGGAGGAAGGGCAGAAACCACAACACCCUGACUUGGGUCAAUUAAAACUUGUGGAAUUUCACCCUAAGGCUCCAGUGGGUUUUAGUGUAAGCAGUGCAGUGGCCUUGGCUUCUCGAUGUGGCACGGGGAGAAACUGCACCUAUGGAGCAGUAAGGAGAAAGGAAUGAGGGAAGGUGCCUGCGGAUGAGAAGGGCCUGAACUUCUAAAACACACCACUUGGUAAUUACUAUAACUAAGCACAUUUCAAAUGUCACCGCCUCUUGCACUGUCACUGCGUAUUCAUUUUGAGAAAAACAAUGUGCUGGGCUUGCAUUCUUUCUCCUCUUUUCAUGAAUCUGCUAACGUAUUCAGAAAAGAUCUGUUUUGAAAGCCCGUAUUUGAGGUGUAUUAAUUUUGAACUUGUCAGAAUGAACGUUUGUAUUGGAAACAGUUCUACAAGGCUUGCCUGCAUCACAAAUGAAACUAAAACCAUCGUGCUCACUGUAAACGUGCUCUAUUUUGAUUAAACUUGGGUUGUUUCCAGCUGAACUCAGGCAUGGGUUUAUUGGGGCACACUCUUCCCUAUUCAUCAUCCUGAUUUUGCUCUUUGUAGCUAUACUUACUUAAAAUGUAGUUGAUGAUUAAGGAAAAUAAUCUAAACCAAACUAGAUCUGAUAGGAAAUCAACUUAUUCUGGUCCUCCUCA